GAUGAACGCUGGCGGCGUGCCUAAUACAUGCAAGUCGAACGAGGCCCUUUGUAUUCGUACGAAGGUGUCCUAGUGGCGAACGGGUGAGUAACACGUUGGUGACCUGCCCCAAAGUGGGGGACAACUCCGGGAAACUGGAGCUAAUACCCCAUGUGUUCCGAGGAGUUAGAGGUCCUUGGAAGAAAGGAGCAAUCCGCUUUGGGAGGGCCUGCGGCCCAUCAGCUAGUUGGUAGGGUAACGGCCUACCAAGGCUACGACGGGUAGGGGACCUGAGAGGGUGGCCCCCCACACUGGCACUGAAACACGGGCCAGACACCUACGGGUGGCAGCAGUGGGGAAUAUUGCCCAAUGGACGAAAGUCUGAGGCAGCAACGCCGCGUGCGCGAUGAAGGCCUUCGGGUUGUAAAGCGCUUUUCUGGGGGAAGAGAAAGGACGGUACCCCAGGAAUAAGUCUCGGCUAACUACGUG
rnacentral:rRNA from 1 species